rnacentral:rRNA from 1 species
UCCGUAGGUGAACCUGCGGAAGGAUCAUUACCGAGUAUUGGGUCUUAGUGCCCGCACUCCAACCCUUUGUGUAUCUAAAACCGUUGCUUUGGCGGGCCCGCGGUGCAAUGCCGCUGCUGGCUCACGCUGGUUAGCGCCCGCCAGAGAACUACUAAACUCUUGUUAAUUUAGUAUCGUCCGAGCAAACUUUAAUAAUUAAAACUUUCAACAACGGAUCUCUUGGUUCUGGCAUCGAUGAAGAACGCAGCGAAAUGCGAUAAGUAAUGUGAAUUGCAGAAUUCAGUGAAUCAUCGAAUCUUUGAACGCACAUUGCGCCCCCUGGUAUUCCGGGGGGCAUGCCUGUUCGAGCGUCAUUACAACCCUCAAGCUCUGCUUGGUAUUGGGCUUCGUCGGUCCCCGACGUGCCUCAAAGCUAUCGGCGGCGGUGCCUUUCUCUAAGCGUGGUAAAUCUUAUUCGCUUGUGAGUCGGGCUUCGCCUGCCGGACAAACCGGGCUUCGGCCCAUUUUCUCAGGUUGACCUCGGAUCAGGUAGGGAUACCCGCUGAACUUAAGCAUAUCAAUAAGGCGGGAGGGGAAGGGUCGGACUGGCCAAGGGCACACAGGGGGGGAUA